rnacentral:lncRNA from 1 species
AUGCAGUUGUUGGAGAUGCUCGGUUUAGCAGAGACAUUGAGAGAGAGAGAGAGAGAUGGAGCCCUUGGCCUUCUGUCACAAGAGCUGGCAAAUGGCCCGCCCGGCUAGCCCUGCCCUAGCCAGUCCCAGAGCCACAGAUCUGGGAUCUGCCAGCCGUGCUAUUUGCCUCACCGAGUGGGUCUACUCAUAGUUUUCCACGAGACUUGACAAGGAAGGAACAAACCCCACAACUCUAAAGCUUACUGAAGAUAAGGUGAAUCCCUUCACUCAAGGCUCUUUGUGAUCUGACAACUUUCUUUGGGAACAAAAGAAGCUGACAGGCGUCUUAAUGACUUCUCAUAGAUGCCUUAGUCACCCACAUGUUCACACGCUGGGUGUCACAUAGCACUGCAGUUAAAGGCCAGCUUGUGAGCAGUACCUUCUUUCAGUGGUACAUAAACUACAGGCUGAGCCCGGUGUGCAUACUUGUAACCUCAACUGUUCCGGUGGCCGAACCAGGAGAAUCACAAGUGUGAGACUGGCCUGCUUAGACUACAGAGUGACUUCAAGGCUAAAUUGAGCAACUUAAUGAGAUUGGCUCUCAAAAGAGUGAAAAAGAGCUGGGCAUGCAGCUUAGAAUCAAAGUAUUUCUCCAGCGUGUGUGAGCCUGAGGUUCAAUCCCCAGGACUGGGAAACAAAAACAAAGAAAUAAGAAAAGCUAACUGACUUCAUUUUCAUUUUGAGAGCAUCACUGCCCAUCACAGGAAAACAGUUCAUACAUCUGAAGAUGCCAAGAGGAACAAAAAAUUCCAUUGCCCCUUUAUCUAUGGAUAAACAUCUCGGCUGGUUCCAUUUCCAGGAUCUUGUGAAUGGCGCAGCAGUGAACACGGAAGGCGGGCGGCUGGCGUAAAGCUCACGCGUGGCGGUGGGGCUCAGGCGGCUUUUGGCAGAAAGAUUUAUAGUAACAGAC